UAGUUAAAAGGUAAAAUAGUAGUUUUCUACCCUUCUUCCUUGCCCUUCUCUUUUUUUCCCUCUGCUUCUUCCUCUCUUUCUCUCCUACUUUUUUCUUCUCUCCUUCUGUUCGUAUCCUCAUUUUCCUCCUUCUUCUUCUUCGUCGUCGUCAUUGAUGAUCCGAUUGUCGUCGCUGUCGUGGUGCCCCCGUGGGCCGUCAUCACGGGCGCCACCGACGGCAUCGACCACGCCUUCACCUUCCGCCUCUUCCUUGUCCUCGUUGGCCGCAACCCCGACAAGCUCCGCAAGGUCACCGUCGCCGCCGUCCGCUUCCACGGCAUGAAGAGGAAAAGGAAGAUGAAGAGGGUGAGGGCAAAAUAGUCAUUUCGCAACUUUAUUGUUAAAAAAUUAACAGUUUUUUAACAUAUUCAAAUCAGAGGAACAUAUUUAAAUACAUUAGGGUUUUUAUAAGGAUAACUUAUGAUAGUUAAAUUUUGCAGGAAUAUGUCUGCUAUUCAACAUGUUUGCAGGAAUCUGUAUGAAACUAACCCAAAAAAAAAAUGUCAAUGUAAACGUAAGCUGUUUCUUAGACUGAUAGAAAAAACCGGGAGCCCGAAAAGAUCGAAUCCAGGCGCCGGAAUUUUCGCACCCGAUUUUCAAUGAGUGUGCGCUCGAUUUCUGAGUGUGCUCCCGAUUCUGAGGAGCAAGUUUCUAUCAGAGAAGGUGCGGGUGCCUAAAUUUUGAAGCUUGGAAGUAGUCCUGUGGUAUAUUUUUAAUUUGAAGUUUCCUAUUCUCUCUCCAAACUUAAGUGAGUUAUUUUGAUAGCGAUUUUCUAUUCCCUUGCGUAGAAAUUAAGAGUUGGGUUUUUGUAGCGGAAAGAUUUAUCUUUUGAGAAGAAGAAGAAGAGAAGUGGUUGUAAAGACUCGGUAUUUGCACUAAAAAUAUCGGAAGUGUCGUUCCCACCACAUGCACAUGCAAGAAGAAGGCCUCUUAUAUAUGCACGUCAUUAGAUGCCGAGCAAAGCCCUGCAUGAUUUUAAAUCAGUUAUAACAUGUUGGUGGGCAAAGCUACCCUGUAAUAAUCAGAAUUAGCUACAACACCCAAAUAACUUCAUGAUAGUUUAUAGUUAGUCACACUUGUAAUUAAACAGUUGCAAACUUUUUCUAAGCACUAUCUAACUCGUUCGUACACCCGAACAAUGGUUCUGAAAAAUAGUGCAGCAACAGGUAUAAGUUAAUCACGUGGAUAAUCCAAUAGGUAUGUAUACUAGACUGAAAGUAAGUUAUAGAGAUCGAAUUAGACAAUUCGUAUAUCAAUUGCGGAAACAAAAUAAGGAUGCAUACAAUGAUGCAUGUAGUCAUAUAGAACAACAAGUGAACUUCAAACAGAGCAAGUAUAGAAAAAUACUGCAAGAAGUUGUAAACAAUAUUGGUGUUAUUAUAUGAGAAGGCAUAUGCUAUUUAUUAAUUUCAAAUUUGUUGUUAUUCUUUUAAUCUUAUUAGGCCCAACAAGCUGAUUUCCCGCUUUCAAUCCAAAUCUAACAAUAUUUGAAUUGUCCAAAUCGAAAUUGAAAUGAAAAAGUAUGCCCAAUUUACAAUUUAGUGCCUAUUAAUUCGUGCAAAUCAGUCGAAAUUUAGAAUUUAUGCAUAUCAAAUGAAUGCCAUGGUGGCAAAAAGAAUUUCAUAAUGAAUCCAAUGAUAAUAAAAUCAUGUAAAAUGGAGACUGUCAAAACGAAAACACUAAAAACUCACUGACCGAAACCGGACAAUGGGAAAAUUCGGGCCCAAACUAGAACCAGGCAUGGGCCAAAUGUGUCUCUCUCACGGAUUCAAAUCAUAUGCGAACUUGAUUCUAAACUUAAACUUUUAUCAAAUAUAGGCUAAGCCAAUUUAAUAUAGUCCAUUUCCUUAAGGUGAAAUAAAUAUGCUCUAAAAGCCUAAGUUUUUACUGUGGCACCGUUCGACGACCGACCGUGGGAAUUAGAGUUGCUACUCGGACUAGAUCAUCCAAUUCAACCCGAAUCUGACCCCCAGACUCGAAGUAUUUUUGUGAGGUGUAUAGGUUAAAAUUAGGGGAAAAUCCUAAUUAAUAUUCAGUUCCGAGUAUAAACACGUUGAUCCAGUCCUUAUUUUUUGUGUACUAUAUUACAUGCUUUUGUGUACUUUUACCGUGGGUGAUAAUAUUGUUAACAGAGCUAUAUUUUAUACGCAUAGACAAUAGUAAUAUAAACUUAAUAUAGUGUUAUCACACCCCUUUUGAAAACAGCAAUCAUUUGUAUAUUGUUUUUAAUUUGAAUUUUUUUUCAGUUAACAUGAACAAUGAGUAAGAUUACCGUUACGUUCAGAAUUUGCUGUAUUUUCAAAGCACAUAGAUUACUUAAUAAAUUUACUCUUAUAGAGUGGACAUGGGACCCCUUUGGAUUGAUCUUAUGCUAAGGAAUGAAUGAUGGUCCAAAACCAUAAAAUAAGCAAAGGCCUGAUUCAAUUUUCAGGAUUAGUGAAUUACGGAUCAAUUUUCAGUUUCGAGCCAUUAAUCGGAUACAUGACAUUAUCUACAGCCAUAUUUGGAUUAAUAACAUUAUCUACAAUCAAAGAAACUAAGGAUAAUCGAUCGAAUAACUGCGUUACGUCGCGGCCCAAAUGUUUAAUACCACACAAAGAAGGUCCCUAAAAAGGCCCAUUAGAUAUCAACCACCACGCAGUUAGUAAUAAGAUGUUAAAGAACAUCUUCUGCAAUCAAAACUGCAUCCAGGAUUACUGUUGUUCAUCUGCCACUUUGUAAAAUUGCUCGCUUCGACUUUCCUCGACGGUACUCCAAUAACGCCGACCAACAUCCCGGUGUCGCAGCUGGUUCCCUGUCCCUGUAAAUUAAACAAACUUGACUUAAAGCCAUUUGCAUAUCAGGAGCUCGAGCGCGAAACGAUUAAUUGAUGUAUGUAACAAUCAGUCGAAUGAAAAGAUUAUCCUUGGUUUGAAUUUCCUGUAAAAUCGGUGUUCGACUUAAUGACAAAAUUGAUUGGAAAGGAUGAAUUUCAUAGAAUUUCUUCUUUUUUUUUUUUUAAAAAAAAAAGAGAAUUAUGUAGGAUCAGGAUUGGUGAUUUGCUCAUCUAGCACAUUCACAACGUCAAAUCGGAGAAUAGGCUGAUUAGCUUAAAUUUGUGUUGAAAUACGUAUCCCUACGUAGUACUUUUAAAAUCACCAAACAAAUAUUAAGGUCACAUCAUAACCGAUCAACAAAUAAUGAUCGUCAACACCUAAUUGUCAGUGUCCAAAAAAACCGAUUGAUAGAAAUAAUUUAAAAAUAGCCUUAAACAAUAAACUGAAGAGAUAUAUAAUCAUCUUUGCUAGUACGUGACUUAAAAAAAUCAAUCUGAUAGAAAAUAACACAGUAUAAUCUUAACACUAGUUAUAUACCUUUUGUUAUACUCGGUGUUAGCUCGCUGAUCCACCCCCCCACGGCUCGUCCGUGCGGCAGUGAGGCUCCGUGUCAACGACGUUGGCACGUAGAAAUUUAGGAGCACUCCUUCGCUACUACCACCGCAACUACUCCUGCGAUCUCUCCUCUUCCUCUCAUUCAUUUUAGGCCUCUUCUCCUUCGUUUCGUCGUCAUGUAUUAUUUUUUUUUUCGUUACCGCUCCCGUCUCCGACGUUAAUCCUUCUUUCUCGACUAAGUCGGUGAGGGAGAGCUCGUAAUCGGACUCCGGAACGUCGUUUAGUAGCCUCAGAAGCUCUUCGCGGCUUUUGGCGAUCUCCGAAGCCCUCACUGAUAGAGAAGCCGAGGAAAUGCCUUCCAUUUUGCUCUCAAGAAGCCAAAGACUCCUCCCAGAGAGUGCAAUUGUGAUGAUUUCGAGGGAAAAUAAAAAAAAAAAACAAACAAGAUAGGAAAAUAUAAUAGUGAGAGAUUGCUAUAUGUAGCGAAGAGGCCUUUGUUGUGAAUGGUCCAUUUGGUGGAAACAAAUUGAUGGCGUACGCACAAAACGGGCUUAAGAAAUUGACUAAGUUGUGAAUGGGACCUGAUCUAGAAUAACUCUUUUGAAAGUUUCAAUAUUUAUGUAUAUUGGUGGGGCCUCGAUGGUUCGCUAAGGCUAUUACACUAUCAUCAUCACUGUGAUGAACUAAUAAUAUACUAUUAGGAAUAUGAUUAACUAUUAUAAAAGCAUGUGUUUAUAGAAAGAACACAUUCAUUGCAUUUAAAAGCUCAACCACAUUAUUCAUGGAUUUCGAUCUGACUCAAUUCACAUGGAUAUUAAAUUUUUAUUGUUAACCUCUUUUCGUUGGGUAUACUAUGGAUCACAGCUCUACGCAAUUUAUUAGGAUAAUUUAUUUCAAAUUAUUAGUUUUCUAAAUUUAUUACCACAGAAUAGAAAGUUGAAUCUAUUUUAGCUAAUAAUAAAUAACUAACAUUAUAUAUGGAUUAUGGAUUGCGUCUCUGAAUAACAAAUUUUUGUAACGUUUGGAACUACAUAGGAAUCUAUUAAUAAUUUUCAUGUUAUGCGUAUUAGUAUAACAAAAAAUUAUAAAAAACGCGCUCUAAAUCAUUCACAACGUGUGCGUGAUAUCAUGUAUCUAAAAAUAAAAAUAUUGAACAGUUUGGGUUGUUGAUGCGAUCAGUACGUUGAUGUUGACUCGAUCGUUCGUCUGGUUGCUUUUGUAACUUGUGUUCAACUCAAUUUAGUGUAGGUUGUUUACCAAUUAUUUUUGUUCGAAGAAGCCUAGAACUUCACGAAGAUUAAUUGCUUUAGUGAGUUGGAUUUGAUUGAACACUUAUUUGUAAUCUUGUGUUAAAAAACCAUUGGUCUCCAAUGAUUCACUACUUUUUUACACUAUGAUUGUAGUUUUAAUUGUGCUGUUACGCACCAUCCCUCAAAAUAUGCAAACAAGAAAGGAAAAACCCACCGACCGUUCCUAGAGCAAGCGACAAAAGGCUUGGUGGUUGGUAUCCGAGACCCAAAUUCAAAUUUUAGUUAAUUCAUAUUUCUAGCUAAGUUUAUUUCUAAAUGAAAUAAACGAAGCGAAUAGUGAAAAAAAAAAAAAAGAAAAACCCUAAACAAAACUGAAUACUAUUUCAUUGCACAUUACUUUUUCUUUGUUCUUGUGGGAUGAACUACGUUAGUGCUUUUCCUCCAAUAAAGUUACGGAUCUAACUCUAUUAAGGUUCUAACACCUAUAUCACCAGCAAAAAUAAGAUAUAAAAUAUCCUUGCAUACUUUAAUUCAAACUCCUUUUGAUCCAGUAAUGUCAAAUAGCUUUUAAUAACAAACGAAUCCUUAAAUCUGUUUUUAAAAAAAUGGCAUGAGCAUCAAUUUGGAACCAAAACUCACUAUUUUAUUCUUAAAAUUCUCACGAGUAACACAAAAAAAAAAAAAGUAAAAAAGGAGAAUUUUGUAGAGCCCACUCAAGCCUAAUUUCCGGGAUUACGUUGUUUCCCAACUUACCCACCCAUAGAUUAAAGUUUUGUCCUCUGCAUCUAAGGACAGUUUGUUUUGAUUAGGUGUAAUUAUAAAUAUAGUGUAGUUGAAAAUAUAUAUAGUUAAAAAUAUAGUAAUUGUAACUAUAUGCAUCCCAUUUGAUUGGAUGCAGUGAAAAGCGCUGUGACUAUUAAUAGUUUGUUUGAUUGCAUAUAGUUGAGAAAUAAUUUUUAAAAGUUUAUUAUUUUAUAUAUAUUAUGGUGAGAUUAUCUCAAAUAUAAAUAUAUAUAUGUUUUAUUUAAAAAAUAAUUAAAGAGGUAAAUAUACUUUUUGUUUAAAAUUACUCUCUCUAACUGCUGCAGUUCGAACUGCGAUCAAUUUAGGCGUAGUUUUCACUACUACAGUUGAGCUUCCUCUUAUAUAAUUCCUACUGCAACAGAUGGAGCUAAAUGCAACAAACCAAAUGCAAGCAUUUGUAUUUACAUACAGUUAUAAUUAUAGUACAGUUAUAACUACGUACAACCAAACAGCCGCUGAUAUGCCGAAAUUUGUUUUUUGGUGACAGGGCUACGACGGCAUCUUUAUUAAGUUUGCUAAUAAAAAUUUAAAAUAAAUCAAUAAAAAGAAAAAUUAUCAAAAGUAUUUUUUAAAAAUAAAAUUUCUCACUUUUGUCGUUUAGUCUUUUGACUGGAGAAAGAAACGGAAGUUGCCGGCGGGCUCCACGCCGGCGAGCGAAGCGCAUGAUCAAACCGUACAUCUAGUGGGGCCCUCAUAGGUUGGGAGUGCUUCUACGGCCUAGAUGCGUAGUAGUAUGUAGGGGUGGUGGUCAAGCGACGCACCCGAUGAACACUUUGCAAGACAAGUAAUCGGAACUCAAGUACGAGCCUCCAAAACUUUGAGAUUAGCACAAACUAAAUAGAGGUUAAGAAAGUACGAAAUUUACUUAACUAUAAAUUAUUUACAUUUGACUAUCAACUUUUUUAAUUUUAAUUUAACUAUCUAAUAUUUCCUAAUUUGUUUGAUUUAAAUUAGUUGACAAUACUUUGACUUCAAAAUUCGAAUACGAUUUUAUUAUGUUUUAUAGGUUUAGUUAGUAUACUUAAUGUUAUUAUCACAACUAUAAAUUUAUUAAAGUAAUCAAUCUAAUUUUUGAAGUCAAAAUAUUGUUGACUGAUUCAAAUCGGAUGAAUUACAGGUUGGAUAAUAAAAUUAAAAUUUUGAAAAGUUGGACAAUCAAAUCCAAAUAAUUCCUAGUUCGGAUAAGUUUCAUACAUUUUCACAUAAAUAAAAGAGUUUUCAUUUUCAACAGCAAUAAUUUAUUAGUAGAUACUUAUGCCUCAUUGGGCAUUAUUAUUUUUUUUUACACUAAUUAUAUACAAUUUGAAAUAUUGUCUAAAAAUUUAACUUCUUGUUGCCGCCGUGAUUGGUUAGCAUGUAAUACACUUGGCCAAGUAAUACUGACAACUUUAAAUAAAUUUCAAAAGAAAAAAAGCUUUAUUUUAAAAAUUUUAUGUUUUGUUACCAAAUAAACAGCACGAAAGAAAAAGUUGUUAGUAAUGUACUACUACUACCCACUACUAUACCGUUUUUAUGUUAAAAAAUCUAUUUAAAUAGAUAAAACACGAUGCCAAAUGAAGCCUUAAUUGCUUUGGUUUUGCUCUCUUUUUAUUUCUAUUCGUACCUGCAAUUAACUACCCCAGAGCAUUUGGCAAAUACCAAGAAAUAGAGUCUUUGCUGCAGCGCAAAAUUUAAGUCCCAAAAGAAGUGGCCUGGUUUUAGAAUUUAUGAUUUUGCAGAGAAGUUUGAGAAAUUUCAAUAUGGAACCUCUCCGUACAAUACCACUGGAAUAUAAACUACAACCUACAAAAUCGCAUCUGAUCGGUAUUCUAAAAAAUAACGAUCAAGAGCAGGUAAAAUAUUCUGAUGUGACCCAAUUUUUUAGUUCUCAAAUGCAGCUAGAGAUUCUUUUUUGUCUUUGUUGAAGUUGGAUUUCACUUUGGAUUUGCUCUAAUAGAGACUAAAAAUAAUUUUUUAUAGGGGCGUUUUCUCACCAUUUCUGCUGAAACGGGCAAAAAAAAGGAAGAAAAAAACAAUUCUCUCAUGAAGACGAUGGAUCAUAUUUUUAUUACACCUAUACAUGGGAUGUAUAAAUCGCGUUGCUCUUUUACAAAGAAAAAUACUACGGGUACACCCUUCCGGGAGGUGUACAUUUUCCAUCUUUAAUCCAUAAAUUCAAACCACCCCUUUGGAGUUUAAAGAAAAAUUUUUUUAAAAAAAAAACAUGAUAAGAUAAGUGAUUUAUUCUGAUCUACAAAAAAUUUAUGAGUAUUAAGUUUUACGAUGUAUGCGUCGCAUUACUCUUCUACAAAACAACAAUACAUUUUUGACAAAAGCAGAUGCUUUCAUUCAUGCAUUAUGUUAGGAAAACAUAUAAUCUAUCCUCAAUGUUUCCACAUAAUACCAAAAAUUUGUCAUGAAUAAAGGCGAAUCAAAAAUAUCUGCUUGUUAAAAACCAUAAGAAAGCAUAUUGGUGUUUGAGCUUAUAUGUCUAUAUACAAAAGCAAUCAAUGGAUAGAUGACAUUAUAAAUAUGGAUCAAACUCUUAAAGAGUCAGAUUAAAAGACCUGUUGAUCCAAGAAACACAAUCGUGGGAUGCUCCAAGUAUGUCUUAUAAUUUAUGUCUUAUAAUUUACUGUCCUAUUAACUUAAUUAACAAAACAGUGAGAAGUAACACAUAAUUAAACUUUGAUGAGGUUAGGUAGAAGAGUAACCUUAUCAGCCGCGAUAAGCGAUCAAACAUUGCUCUCACCAUUCUUCUGAAGUUUCUCAUAUAGUUUUCUCGAAACCUGCAAAGUCGAAGUAAGAUAGGACACACAAAAACCGAGCUUGCGUAUAUAGGAAACAAAAGCUAACUGUCAGGAGAGGAUAGUAGUGAUUUGAAGGUUCUCCAUCCUAAUUUUGCUAAUCAAGUCUGAUAAAAUAGUCUGUCGGAAUAGGACAGGUAGUUUCUCUUGAUAAACCUGUUAAAGAGUCAAAAUUUUCUAUCGGCAUCCCAACAAAACAAAUGGGUGACUAUUUUUUUACCACCGUUUCUCGUAAACCUGUUAAAGAAUCAAAAUUUUCUAUUGGCUUCCCAACAAAACAUAUGGAUGACUGUUUUUUUACCACUGUUGCAGACUCUGUCAUUUUAGGGGUCAGAAGGUGAUAAAAAUCUCUCGCUUUAGUUUACUAACGAACUACAACAAUUCCAAGGGUUUUAUAUAGUAGAAAUGGUAAAAGCUUUCUCCACCCAAUAGCAUAUACUAUGAUAUUCUAUUAAGUUGUAUGGCCUACAAUGAACAGGUCGUUAUACUAUUGGCAUUACCUUUAUUCAAUUAAUAGAUUCCUUAAAUUAUACCAGAUUUAUCAUAUAACAAUUUUUACCUUAAUUUUAGAAUCAGAAUUGUCUAAGAAUAAUACAGUAUUUAACUCACUCGAUGUGAAGUUGGAGAACUAGAGCCAAUAACAAUAUGAUUAGUUGGUGAACUCGGAAAUGACUUUCCAGGAGAGCUUAAUAUGGUUGGUGUUGGGACAGGAGCUUGAGCAUAAGGCGAAACAGGAGAGCGUAAUAUAGAACUUUGAUGAUAAGGUGAAAGCGGAGAUUCCGUUGGAUUUCUUCGUGGGAACUGAGAAACAGAUGUGGGCUCUGGAGAUCUCGAUGAUGAUCUUUUCCUUGGAGGCUGCAUAUUUAUCUUAAUCCUGCAAAAGGAAUAUGCUAGUAAUCAUAACACACCAAUAAGAAAGCAGCAGAAUAAGGAAUUGGGCAAAAUGUAUGGAUUGUGCCUGCAACUUCUUCGCAACAUAUUUUUGCUCGAAUUCUUUAGUUCCCGAACUUUUUCAUACAUCCAAUAUCAUCCCUAUAAAGUGACCAUUACACUUCUAACCUUUCUGUUUCAGUAUAGUUAAAUCAGUUGAAAAGGCCAUUUUACAGGACAAGGUCGCACAUUGUCAGACGUUGUUGGCGACUACGGAUAGGAUUGCAAUAAAUGAGAAAAUUCAGGGGCUAAAGUGUUUGAAUGAUAUGUCAGAGAAACAAAUUGGGAUAGAACAGAGACAAAUCCAUAUAUUUUAGUGUAAGUAAUUUAGAUGGUAGCUACUUACUUGUUGUGUACAUCUACAUACUCAUCAGUCUCAUCCAAUAUGUCUUCCUUCAUAAAGCAAUCAAGCAGAGUUGUUAGUUACUUAGCUUCUUGCAUGAACGAAUGUAAGAUAGCAAGGACUACUUAACAAUAAUCAUGAAAAAAAAAAAUUUAAUAAUUAAAAGUGCAGAAUCAGAUAAGCAGUGGGAAUGCAAUUAUGAGGAAAAUAUUAACAGACUAGGUGUCAUCAAUUGCAUGAGCAGACUAAUGGGCACAAAGAAUGAUCCAGAACUUUAUGAUCCUUGUGUGAGAAUAUUUUCUCUCACUGGACAUUGAAUGAACCGAACUUCAUACGUUACCAAAUGCCAAAAUAUUGUAUAAUUCCAGGAAAAUCCCUAACAACUCUAAGCUGCAUAGAUAAAACAUAUUGCAACAGACCUUUCUAGAUGUAAAUAUGACAUAUAUAAUAACAAUAUAAUAAAAAGUAUGGGGAACCAAAUUAUACUAUAUUUCUAUAGCUUCAUGUAAAUCACAGUAGAAAAGAUAUUAUAAAUUCUGACCUGUAGCAAUUCCUCUAUAACAUUCUCCAUUGUAAUAAUCCCAAUCACUUCCUCAUCUAAUGAGUAGCUAGGAAAGGAAUCUGAAUUAACAUCAAGUAUAUUGUCAUGUCGUCCUCGCUCUGACUUCUUUGGCUGUGUUCUUACAUAUUGCUUCUCCAUGUUGCUUCUUUUUAGAGGACUGUGAAUUCCAGAAACACUAGAAUACAAAGGUGAUGCAUUUAAAGUGACACCCAAAUGAUCAGCCAAUGCUACAUGAGAUCCAUCUCCUGCACAAGCAGGAAUUGCUACAUGAAAAAUAUACAUAAUUGUAUGUAGUUCUUUGCAUAAAGGAAUCAAACAUGCAAUUGGUACUUCUAAAAUCAUAAUCGACAUAAACUAUCUUUUGAGAGGAUAAUAUACUUAAACUAUGAAGUAAAGCAUUCUCACAAUUCUUACCAGGAGUACCAUCAGCAGGAACAUUUUUCUUAUACUGGUUCAUUCUGUUCUCUAUUAUAUUGCUUUUGCUUUUAUCACUGGAUGCACCAAUAUCCUUGGUGCGUUUAAUGACCACGGCCAUAUGACUGUGACCUUUCUGAAACUCAUUCAGAAUGUCAUAAAGAGGAAGAUCCUCAUACACCCUGAUACAGAGAUGAUAUAAUGCACAACUUGGUUAGCUAAAAAAUUUCCUAUUAAAACAAUAUAUGAUUCUCAAUUCAAUAUUGCAUGGGGUUAAUUGAGAAAUACUGCUGAUUCUUAGUUACAAUAAAGACAGUUCGAUCCAAUUAGUGUAAUUGAGAAACAGGACCUUAAAUAUUUUUACUUAUCUAAUAUGUCAGAAAAUCAAAGAAAUAUCUUAAUGUACAAAACAUAAAGAAUAUACCUAGGAAUUUUUCUGAUGGUGACAUUUCUAAUGGGAACUUCAUCUUCAGGUCGACAAGUAAUCAAAUUCUUGACCUGAAAGAAAGGCAAAUCAUUAAAUUGGCAAAGUUUCAAGCAUACAAAGAGAGAAUAAGGAGUUACUACUCUCUUAACCUGAAGAAAGACAACUCAUUAAAUUGACAAAGUUUCGAGCAUAUAAGUAGAAAAAUAAGGAGUUAAUACUCCACAAGCGAAUCAUGAGAGAAUUUACAUACAGCAAAGAAAUUAACUACUGAAUUUUUGCUUUGUAUGCAUGGAUAAAUUCACUUAUGAUAUGUUAAUUGAGAGUAAUGCUACACUCAGAACUGUUUUACAUGCAUGCCGGACAAGGGACCAAUAAAUUCCAUAGGUAAGAGAUUAAUAGGUCACUGUGGAGUCCACAUCACAAUUUCAACCAAAUCACAGCCCAGCAGGUUUGACAUUCAUGUCAAAUGUUGGUACAUCAUUCCUCUUUGGUUAAUUUAGACCGUCAAUCAAUCUGUUGUAAAUGGAAACCUCGUGAUCUUGAUAGAAGGAAGUACCAAUAGGAUAUAAAAGAGUAAAUUACGUAUAAAAAAAAAUCAUAAAAAGAACUGCAAGUAGAUAAACAAAAAGUUCAUAAAAUCUUGGUGGGCAAACUUCAAAUGACCAGUCCUACAAAGACUGUCAUUUACAGUUAUUUGUAAAAGAUGCAUCAUAUAAAUUUCACAAAAAAAUAGCAAGGUGCUCACCAAAAUAAGGCCAAUAAUAUUUCUUGGGCUACCCGAAUAAAUUGGCACACGACUGUGCCCUUUUGUCAUUAUCAAACCCAUAGUGUGCCUAGCAAGAUAUAAAUGUCAGCAGCAUAUAGAGAAAAAUCCCAUAGUAUGGAAGCUACUAGAAAUCAGUGAAAGGCAUGUACAUGUCUAGCUUGGAGUUUAUAUCAAGUGCAAAGGUAUCGGCAAUUUCCGUCAUAGAAUCUUUAGCGGUCUUUUGGGUCAAAUCCAAAGCUCCUGUAAUGAUAGUAGUUUCAUCAUGAGUCAACUCUCCACCCUUCCCUGCCUAGCAAGCAAUUUAAAGAAGGUUUACUGUUUGCCCUGCUUCAAAACUACCAGCAUAAAUUUCUAUAUUUCUUUCUCAUAAGUACUGCAAAUAUGAAAAACCUCUCUUUGCUUCUUUCCUGAUUUAACGUUCAUGCAUACAUGUAAGUCGUCCAGGCAUGCAAAUCAGAAAAUUGACAAUACAAAUAGAGUCACCAAAAGAUGAACUUCUACUAAUGUUAAACCUUAACACAAACAACAACGCUUCUCUCAAACAGCACAUUGGCCAGUAGUUCAACCCAUGAGAUCAUUAUAAGAUUAGGCACUGUAGAAAGAAACCAAUUAGAAUAUUUAGCACCAUUUUUUUUUCCCCUCAACAUUCUGUUAAUAUGAAACUAAUGCAAAUGACCUUCUUUCUAAAUAUUCUGUUGCAUUCAUGAAUCAUGAUAUUUUAUUUUCAAACAUGCAAAGUGAGAUUUUGUGUUGUUGUUAAGAGCUAACAUCAGCAUAACAGGAAUGCACAGAGUAGCGAACUUCUUUUUUUACCAACAAAAUGCUUAGCAGAAAUAGUGAAUGCAUAGACGAGAUAUAUAUGAUACCCCCAGAUAUCGUAAAAUGUAGUGUAAAACACUUAUCAUAUUAUCAUAAAUAAUCAAAUAAAUGUACAAUGUAAACCCAACCUCAUUUCCAUGCAUAUCAACCAAUGUCUUCAACUCGGCCCUUCUCAUAAGUGCAAAAUGCCCCUUUCCUAAAAGCCAGUCCAGCAGCUGUCCACAGUAUGAACAUCAAACGAUUGAGAUGUUGAGUCUAUGUCAAUAUAAAGAAAAGGAAGAGAACUUGAAUAAAUUGUCUAAUAAACUAACUAGAUAUUGAGAUAUAGAUUUGCCAAUUCUGGUGCAUCUAAUAAAGAAAGAGAUUUUUUUUUAUUUACUUUUAGAUCUAUUAAUCAAGUUUUAACUGAAUAAAUCUUUAGAUAUAUAACUGUGGCAGCAUGCAAGCUCAUUCUAAUUAAGUCCUGCAUCCAAAUUUUUUUUAGGCUAUUUGAAAAGGUGGUAAAAUGCAGGGUUGAAAUUGAUGCAAUCUACAAUUCAGGAGAUAAUUGAGAUAACAGUAAAAGCCCAAGGUGCUAUGUUGUUAUUUAGCCCCAAAAAACAUUAACCCCCAAAUUGAGAAGGGUGAAAUCUAGUGAAAACCCACUAGACAAGGAACCGGUCUCACGAGUAGUAAAGUAAUAUGCAUCACCUACUUCCACUUCGGGAGCACAUUGCUGUGAAGAAACACGGCUAUAUGAAAUGUGCAGUUCACAAAAAGACUUGUGGUCCGCACAUGCAAAACAACAGGUCAUGUCCAGCUAACAUUAAAAUUUUUCUUUCAGAGCAAGUAUUUCCAGGAUUUGAGCUCUCAUCACUUAAUUUUCUAAGGUACAAAAUGUAACUUUUGCGUAAGGUCAAUAUACAAGGAGCAUGUUACAUGUGCUUAAGAUUUUUCAGCAGUACUUGUAAGGCUGACUUCAUGUUCUUUUGUCAAUGAGUCAGAAUUAGCCCAUGUGAUGGCCCGAUUAGCUCAUUUCACAAUUUUCUUUUCUCUUAUUUUUCCUUUCAAGAAUUCUCUCUAUAAACUAAUCUGUGAACAUCGCGACCCCUGCACGAAAACACACCUCAACGGCAUGAUCGGCCAGCAGAAUAGGCUGCUGGCAAAAUUGUUAUCGGCAUAUAUAUAUAUUAACUCGUAAACCUUAUAUUCGAGCUAAUGAAAGCCUUUUUAUUUAUCACGGAGGCGCCAUAUAUCGCACAGCAAAUUAGCUACACAGUGCAAUUCAAUUUUUAAAAUUAUUCACCAAAUAGAUCAUUACUAGGUUCUCUAACGUCUCGAAAUUAGUUAUUUAUCUUGCCGAUAUUCGCGAAUUCAAAGGGAAGGCACAUAAAGAAACCAUGGGGCAUCCAUUAAACAUAUCCGAUUAAGUCUCUUUUGCCGGUUCGAAAGAAAAUCACAAUACCUACGUUAACAGCAGACAAGAAAUCACCUUACUAAUGGGAUAGGCGACAGGAAAGAAGACGAGAAGAAGAAUCCGGACAACCCCAGCCAGCCGGGCUCCGACGCUCAGCCCGUACCGCGAGCAUACAGCUUGAGGAAUUAUCUACAACAACACAAUCAAACAAGAAAAGAGAUUCAUAUCGCCCUUCCGGCACCAUCUCAUCUCAAAAGGCGACGGAACGCGAUGUUCAAGCGGAAUCACCUCACCGAACGCAAGGAUAAGCGUCACGGAGAUCAGGAUCGCCCCCCACGCCGGCAGCAGAGCGUCGAGGAAUAUCGGCAGCGCCUGCGCAGCAAGAAGAAAGGAAAAAUCAAUCCACGACAGGAUCGAUCGUUAAUUAAAUCGUCACGAUCAGGAAGCUAGAGACCUCACCUCCAUGGCGAGGGAGUUGCCGAUGAGGAGGGUGCAGAGGAGCAGGUGCUGGUUCUUGACCACGGGGAGAAUCUUGGCUAGUAUUAAGCAGCAGAGAGAGAGAGAGAGAGAGAGAGAGGGGGUAAGAGAAAGAGAAAGAGAAAGAGAAAAAGAAAGAAAGGUGGAAGGUAGGAGGAGGAGGGGAGGAGAGGAGAGGAGAGGGGGUGGAGGAGGGAACCGGCAUUGAUUUGGUCGGUAGGGGUUCCGGCCUUGCGGAGGACCUCGAGGUCGACGAGGCUGAGGGACAUGAGGCCGAGGGUGAGGCCCGACAUGAGCCCCGCGAACAUCACCAGCCCCAGGCACACCAUCAGGUACACCCAGAACAUGCCCCCGCAGCAUGACUCCUGCGCCGACAUCAAAACUUCUCCCACACACCAAAAGAGAAACAGAGAGCAGAAGAGGAGAAGGGGGAGGAGGAGUAUGGCGGACUGCUCUUGGAGGAGGUGCUUUGAGGCCGUGGCAAUAAAGUGGGGUGCCGACUGCCGAAUGCCCCUUUUUUAGUUUUCCUUUCCCCUUUUUUCCCCCACUUUUUAACGGUUGGGUGCGUUGAUUGUGUCCGUCCUUGUUUGCGCUGUGAAUGCUUCGACUCUCGGAGAACGCAGCACAGCAGCAGGUAUAGGUAUGAAACGCGCCGCCGUGGCGAUUUUUCCUCGUGCUUCUGACUGCAUGCUCUCUGUUUUCUGGAUCAGUCUUUCGGAUUUUUACGCAAACCUUUAACGUAUGGACCUGUUUCAGUCAAAAGAAAUGUCAAAUCUACAGUAAAAAUAUAUAUAUAUAUUAUAUAAUUUUUAUAAUUUUUAACUUGAUGAUUUUAGAAGUUUAAUAAAUCUAUUUAGUUUUUAAUUUAAAAAAAGAGUGAUAAAACAAGUGUAAUAAAUAUAGUCUUUAGAUAGGUAAAUUAUAGAUUACAACUCAAGUGAAAGCAGAUCGAGCAUUGCUGAAUUAUACUCAUUGCAGAUUUGCAGCGGAGUAAAUUCUGAGUCUGAGGCUCCACUUGUUAUUAUAUUUAU
rnacentral:lncRNA from 1 species